AACGAACGCUGGCGGCGCGCCUAAUACAUGCAAGUCGAACGAGGUAGCAAUACCUAGUGGCGAACGGCGGAGUAAUACAUGAACAACGUGCCCUAAAGUCCGGGACAAACGCAGAAAUGUCAUAAAUACCGGAUGUGGCCCUUCUUUGGCAUCUGAGAAGGAUUAAAGGUUUUUCGCUUUGGGAGCGGUUCAUGACACAUCAGGUAGUUGGUGGGGUAACGGCCUACCAAGCCGACGACGGUUAGCUGGUCUGAGAGGAUGAUCAGCAACACUGGGACUGAGACACGGCCCAGACUCCUACGGGAGGCAGCAGUGGGGAAUCUUAGACAAUGGGGGAAACCCGUGAUCUAGCCAUGCCGCGUGAGCGAUGAAGGCCUUAGGGUUGUAAAGCUCUUUCAGAUGGGAAGAUAAUGACGGUACCAUCAGAAGAAGCCCCGGCUAACUCCGUG
rnacentral:rRNA from 1 species